CUGAAUUUCAGUUAUGACUUGAAUGUUGUUUUUAUCUCCUGUUAAUUAAUGAACUCAAAAUCAGAAAGAUGUGAACGAUCCUUAUUACUCGAAAGGUGCUUCAGCCUCUGGGUUUAGCACCAAAAUCACCAAAAUUGCUUUCAAAAAAAAUCUGAAUACGAUUGCUUGAAUAUGCAUUUUCCCACCUGGAGCAUAAUGAAGAUUCAAGAAGAAUUUGGACAAGGCAGACAACUGGGAGGACCACGGAAGAGCUCUCAUUCUUUUGCCUGCUUGGAGAAGAAAGUCAUGAAGUGGAUUAUCUCACCUGAUAAAUGUUCACAAGUUUCAAGGCCACUAUUAAAAAAAAAAAAAAACAGAAGCAUAAGUAACAAAGGCACAUUUGGAGAGCGGCAGUGAGAUGAUCAAUCACUGAUGACAAAUCCAAAUUUUCAUGUUAAGAUGUGCAAAAGCACAUUGUAGACAUCUGUUCUGUGUGCAAAAUGAACAGCAGACACUUAGUUUCUCAGCUCUUUUCAAAUGAGUAAUCUGCUGGAAAUUGAGUAGAAUUACAUGGAAUAUAGUCAUUUUAGUAUAUAUAAUCUAGAAAAG
rnacentral:lncRNA from 1 species